rfam:Bacteroidetes bacterium GWA2_32_17 gwa2_scaffold_15239, whole genome shotgun sequence.
AAAAAGUGGAGUUCAGUAACCACUCAAAAAAACGGGGCUAUACUUAAAAGCCGUACCAGUAAAGAAUUA